AGUCAAAACCCUUUUUGUCUAUAGACAUAGAGUGAACGUUUAAUUUGGCUCUGGAAGCUGUGCUGAAGAAACCACUCAGGAGGCCAGAGGGGAUGUCUGUGGUUUUUAAGAAAGGAUAAAGGCUGAACAGAUCUCUGCAGUUACAAUUAUUCAUACUAGAAGAUACUGCUAACCUCUUUGUUAUUUGAGCAGCUGGAUGAGAUUCCUGAUUUCCAUAAUCUGUACCUGGAGGUUUAUACAGGAGAGGAUCACUGGGGCAGACUUGAACCAUGGUGCCCACAAGUGGGGAGGGUGCUCCAGCGGCCAUGGAAAGAACUUCCUUCUGCAGUUGGAGACAGCCUUCUGUGUGGGCUGAAGGACAGAGUGUGAUUUUCUACUUGGAAGAGACUCCAGGGCUCUGCAGAGAGGGAAGCCCUGCUGACCCAUUUCAGCAGACUGUGACACUUCAGCGACCUGCAAAUUCUACACAUUAGAGUUCAUAUUUUAUACAAACUCCGUACACCUAAGAUGUGGACUUAACAUUUCUACCAACAACAUCCAACUUCCAACAAAAGAUGCAGGCCCAUCAGAAGAUGAAAGCUACUAAUGAAGAUGCAUUAAAGAUGAUAUUUAUGGCCACCCCUUAGGGAAAAAAAGAUUCAUAAAUAAUUUCAUGGAAAUUACACCCAAAAUAGAGUCAUAA
rnacentral:lncRNA from 1 species